rnacentral:rRNA from 1 species
AUUGAACGCUGGCGGCAGGCCUAACACAUGCAAGUCGGACGGUAGCACAGAGGAGCUUGCUCCUCGGGUGACGAGUGGCGGACGGGUGAGUAAUGUCUGGGGAUCUGCCCGAUAGAGGGGGAUAACCACUGGAAACGGUGGCUAAUACCGCAUAACGUCGCAAGACCAAAGAGGGGGACCUUCGGGCCUCUCACUAUCGGAUGAACCCAGAUGGGAUUAGCUAGUAGGCGGGGUAAUGGCCCACUGAGGCGACGAUCCCUAGCUGGUCUGAGAGGAUGACCAGCCACACUGGAACUGAGACACGGUCCAGACUCCUACGGGAGGCAGCAGUGGGGAAUCUUGCACAAUGGGCGCAAGCCUGAUGCAGCCAUGCCGCGUGUAUGAAGAAGGCCUUCGGGUUGUAAAGUACUUUCAGCGGGGAGGAAGGCGAUAAGGUUAAUAACCUUGUCGAUUGACGUUACCCGCAGAAGAAGCACCGGCUAACUCCGUGCCAGCAGCCGCCGUAA